rnacentral:rRNA from 1 species
CCUACGGGAGGCAGCAGUAGGGAAUCUUUCACAAUGGGCGAAAGCCUGAUGGAGCAACGCCGCGUGCAGGAUGAAGGCCUUCGGGUUGUAAACUGCUUUUAUAAGCGAGAAAUGUGAAGGUAACUUAUGAAUAAGGAUCGGCUAAAUACGGGCCAGAAGCCGCGGUCAUACGUAGGAUCGGAGCCUUAUCCGGAGUGACUGGGUGUAAAGAGUUGCGUAGGUGGCAUAAUAAGUAGAUAGUGAAAUCUGGUGGCUCAAACAUUGAGACUAUUAUCUAAACUGUUAAGCUCGAGACCGUUAGGGGUAACUGGAAUUUCUAGUGUAGGAGUGAAAUCCGUAGAUAUUAGAAGGAACAACAGUAGCGUAGGCAGGUUACUGGGACGGUUCUGACGCUAAGGCACGAAAGCGUAGGGAGCAAACGGGAUUAGAUACCCGUGUAGUC